rnacentral:rRNA from 1 species
GAAGACAGCCAUAAUAGGUUGGAAAUACCUGUUCCCAUUCCGAACACAGCAGUCAAGCUUCCUAUGUUAAUAAUAGUAGUGCCCGAAAAGGCGCAAAAUUAUUAAGCUGUCUUUC